UGUUCUCCUAUCCUUCCUAAUGGAACGUCGAUGAGCUCAACUUUAGCCUUGGAAGGUCCAUUGAAAGGAAAAAACACCCACACAACUAUGUCCGUGAAGGUUGCUCCAAAAACUGGUUUGAUGUGCAAGUAUGUCUCAGUUUCUUGUAAAUCUCCUUUCUUGACUCUCUCUUUAGCUUUUUCAUCCACAGGAAGGUCCAGCCAGUAUUCACCAUCAUUUAGACCUCCUUGAGGAAGGUUCGACCCCGUUGCUUCAAUUGGAACAGGGUUGGACUCUUGCCCCUUCUUAUAUAACAGCGC
rnacentral:lncRNA from 1 species